UGGGCUUGACAUAUCCGGAAUCCUGCAGAGAUACGGGAGUGCCCUUCGGGGA
rnacentral:rRNA from 1 species